rnacentral:lncRNA from 1 species
UAUGACAAUUAUGUGUCUUGGGGUUGCUCUUCUUGAGGAGUAUCUUUGUGGUGUGCUCUGUGUUUCCUGAAUUUGAAUGUUGACCUUUCUUGCUAGGUUGAGGAAGUUCUCCUGGAUAAUAUCCUGAAGUGUUUUUUCCAACUUGGUUCUAUUCUCCUUGUCACUUUCAGGUACACCAAUCAAAUGUAGGUUUGGUCUUUUCAUGUAGUCCCAUAUUUCUCAGAGGCUUUGUUCUUUCCUUUUCAUUCCUUUUUCUCUAAUCUUGUCUUCAUGCUUUGCUUUAUUCCAUUAAGUUGAACUUCAAUCUCUGAUAUCCUUUCUUCUGCUUGAUCGAUUCGGCUAUUGACAUUUGUGUAUGCUUCACGAAGUUCUCGUGCUGUGUUUUUAAGCUCCAUUAGGUCAUUUACAUUCUUCUCUAAACUGGUUAUUCUAGUUAGCAUUUCCUGUAAGCCUUUAUCAGGUUCUUUGCUUCCUUGUAUUGGGUUAGAACAUGCUCCUUUAACUCAAAGGAUUUUGGUAUUACCCACCUUCUGAAGCCUACUUCUGUCAAUUCAUCAAACUCAUUCUUCAUCCAGUUUUUUUCCCUUGCUGGUGAGGAGUUGUGUUCCUUUUGAAGAAAAGAGGCACUAUGAUUUUUGAAAUUUUCAGCCUUUUUGUGCUGUUUUAUCCUCAUCUUCGUGGAUUUAUCUAACUUUGGUCUUUGAUGUUGGUGACCUUCAAAUGGGGUUUUCUCCUCUUCAUCCUUUUUUUUUUUUUGAUGUUGAUGAUAUUGCUUUCUCUUUGUUAAUUUUCCUUUAACAGUCGGGCCCCUCUUCUGAAGGUCUGCUGGAGUUUGCUGGAGGUCCGCUCUAGAUCCUGUUUGCCUGGGUAUCACCAGCGGAGGCUGCAGAACAGCAAAGAUUGCUGCCUGCUCCUUCCUCUGGAAGCUUUGUCCCAGAGGGGCACCCACCAGAUGUCAGCUGAAGCUCUCCUGUAUGAGGUGUCUGUCGACCCCUGCUGGGAGGUGUCUCCUCGUCAGGAGGCUCAGGGGUCAGCGACCCACUUGAGGAGGCAGUCUGUCCCUUAGCAGAGCUCAAGCACUGUGCUGGAAGAUCCGCUGCUCUCUGCAGAGCCAGUAAGCAGAUGUCUACUGUACACAACCCUGUCUGGGUAAAGACACUCAUGGGCAUCAUGAAGACAAUUAGGUCCUGGUGGAGAAGUGAGAAAUUUGGUAACAUUGGAAGAUGAACAAAAAGCAAUUUGAACGUUGGCCCAUUUUGUUUUAUUUUGUAUAAUUCCCUUUGAGCAUUUGUUUUGUUCUCCUUAGCAUGAACUGAGCAUUAACCUAGUAGGUCAUUUCUGUAGUUACUUUGCAACAUAGAUGCUUUUGGCAGUCUGAUAUAAUGUACUGACCCUUCUUAGAAUAAUACUUUGAAUGGAUAAAAUAAAAUAUAGAAGAUUACAAUGAAAACAAAUUGUAUUUAAAAGUACUUAUCAAAUUGUACAAAACAAAGUUUGUGAUAAAGAAAUAUACAUAUAUUUCUUUAUUAGUGCACUAAAUAGCAAGAUCUAAUUAUAGGUUUAAUAACCACCACAAUUUCAAAGUAGUGAUGAGCAAACAUGAUAUUCCAAGAUAUGUGCAACAACAGUAGUGUGAUGUGACCAUUUUGUAAUUUCUACUGACUAUAGAACUCAGACAUUAUCAAAACUAUUCUGAUUUGUUGCUUACAUUCAUAAUUGAAGGGAGAGCUAAGUUUCAGUUAAACGUUAGUAAAAGUAAAAAAUGUACUUUUUAUUCAUCUAUGUUCACAGAUACCUGCCUUAACCCCAGCAUGAGAGAGCCUUUAUAGUAAAUAUUUUAUAAUAUGGAAAAAUACCAUUGACAGGUAAAAUUAAAAAUGAAAAACAUCCCUCAAACAUAUUUGGUACUACAUACACCAAAUUGAUUGACGGAAAGCAGAACUAAAGUUGUAGGAGACCUUAUAAGCUAUUUAUUAUAUCCACUCUAUUUCAUAGCUUAUGGAUGCAGAAGUGAAAGGAAUUGUUUAUGGUCGCACAGUCAGGUAGUGGUGACAAACCAGAAUACAGAUCUCUUCAGUCCCAGAUCAAUGUUUUAAUUACUUUAAAUUAAUUUUGAAAUAUAGAUAUGUGACAGUUUUGCAAUCUCAUAAAGGUAAGUGAUCAACAAUAAGAGGCAGCAAUGCACUCUCUAUGCAUUUUACACUGAACUUAAGUCAUUGGUUUUAUUACACAGAUUACCAGACUAAAAGUUUAAUAUAGUCUGUUGUUUAGAGAGUAUCUCAAUUUUGGUCUAGUGUUUGGCAAAUAUCUAAGGAUAUUUCUAUUGAUAUGAUUGAGAAAGAAUGCACUUGACAGUGUAGCGAAGAUUUGUGAAUGGCUAAAGCCUCAUAACCAAGCAGAGUCAAUUAUGUCAACCUAGUUGGAGGUUUUUUAAAGUGUGCUGCAGGUGUUGGUCCUUAACUCUGACUCAAUAUUUUUAUUAAUAAUUUUUGGUGAGGACUUUAAUAGCAUAAAACAAUUGCAGAUGAUAAAAAACUGGGGCAGGGAGUGUAGAAUAAAUGAAUUAGAAAAUACACUCAGGAUCCCAGAACAUGUCCACAGGCUACACAAUGGUAGAUUGAGUAGAACCAGAUGGAAUUGAAGAGAGGUUUAUGUGAAGCUGCCAUUUGGUCUUGACAAUUGCACAGGCACAGAAUGGGAAAUUCUGGGGUGGCAUUGGUAUGUGAGGAAAAGUAAGGGAAGAAGGUGUUUCAGAAAAGCUCAGCAGUGGAAAGUGUAGCUAUAAAAGCUAUUGUGUGUUUGUUUAGCUAAGGUAACAACAACUGCUUUGAAUCAUAAUUCUAAAACCUCAGUCACUUAACACAGUGAAUUUUUUUCACCAAUAGAAAGUUUAAUAAGUGGUGACAGAGAAAGGUACUGAUCUUCACACAGUUACUGAGGGAUUCAGACUGACUGGAGGUUCUGCCAUGCUCAAAGUGUGACUCUCAAGAUCUUUAUGGGAGUUAAUACUCAGCUGGAAGAUUAGAAAAAAUAUGGAAGUAUUUACAUGCCAAGGCUAAAAGUGGUGAAUUAUCACUUCUACCUAUAUUCCAUUUCCUAGAAUUCAGUUAAAUGGCUAUACGCAGCAACAAGAGAGGCUAGAAAAUGUAGUUAAGUGCGUGACAAGCAGGAAAGUAAAACAUGUUAAAUGAACAUCCAGUCUGUCUUUGCCUUAAGCCAAAAUGGCUGAAAGUGGGUUAUGAUGGUUCUGAUCUCUUCUAACCUGACUGUGCACUUUAAAGGAGAAACAGACUAACUGGAUAGGAGUAAGUAGGCUGGAGACAAAGCUGGAUUUCAGGUUCCAUAAAUAGUGGUUGAAAGGAGCUGGAGCAGCAUGCCUAGAGAAGAAAGAGAAGGUUCAGAAAUGUGGUCUCCGUCUUCAGACCUCCGAAGAGCUGUCAUUGUAACGAAGAAGACAAGGUCUGCUGUGGCCUGAAUGUGUCCUCCCAAAUUCAUGUGCUAAAACAUAAUGGCCAAUGUGAUAGUAUUAAAAGGUAGAGCUUUUAGGCGAUAAAAUUAAGUCAUGAGGGCAGAACUCUUAUCGCUGAGAUUGGGGCUCUUAAGGAAGGGCUUGGGAGAGUCGGUUUGUUCUCUUCUGCUCUUCAUUAUGUGAGAGCACAUCAUUUAUCCCCCUUUUGCCUUAAAAAAUCCCUUCCACCAUAUGAGGAUGCAGCAAGAGUGCCCUCACUAGGAACUAAAUGCCAGCAACUGGAUAUUUUACUUCCCAGGUUCCAUAGCUGUAAGAAAUAAAUUUAUUUCAUUUAUAAAUUACCCAGUCUAUGGUAUAUUGUGAUAGAAGCAUGAAUGGACUAAGACAGGGACUGUGUGUUUGCAGGUGGUAGAGCUGGGACUUGUAGGUGAAAGCCACAGGGAGGCUGGUUUCAGCUCAAUAGAAGGAAGAAUUGUCAUCAGAUGAAAGAAGCUGCUUUUGGAAAUAGUGAGCUGUUCAACACCAGAGAUAUGCAAAGGUUGGAUGACGCAUCUCACAGGGAUAAUGUUGAAAUGAUUCCUCUAUUUUGUGGAAGAUUGCACUACUAGAUCUAAGACUCUUUCCACUUCUGAGAUGCUGUAAUUGUACAUUUUUUCCUGCUGUAAUUUUAGGCUUAUUUGUCUCUUUCUAGUAUGUGAAGAAGAAUACCAGCUGAAGAAAAUGAAUAAAAAUAAAAGUUUAUGAAAAAUAAAAAUCAGGACAAAAG